ACUCAAAGGAAUUGACGGGGACCCGCACAAGCGGUGGAGCAUGUGGUUUAAUUCGAAGCAACGCGAAGAACCUUACCUAGUCUUGACAUCCCAUUGACCGCAGAGUAAUGUCUGCUUCCCUUCGGGGCAAUGGUGACAGGUGGUGCAUGGUUGUCGUCAGCUCGUGUCGUGAGAUGUUGGGUUAAGUCCCGCAACGAGCGCAACCCUUAUCUUUAGUAGCCAGCAUUUCGGAUGGGCACUCUAGAGAGACUGCCAGGGAUAACCUGGAGGAAGGUGGGGAUGACGUCAAAUCAUCAUGCCCCUUAUGACUAGGGCUACACACGUGCUACAAUGGUGAUAACAAAGUGAAGCAACCCUGUGAAGGUGAGCAAAUCACAAAAAUGUCAUCUCAGUUCGGAUUGUAGUCUGCAACUCGACUACAUGAAGCUGGAAUCGCUAGUAAUCGCGAAUCAGAAUGUCGCGGUGAAUACGUUCCCGGGUCUUGCACACACCGCCCGU
rnacentral:rRNA from 1 species